GCCAAGGCAACAACCGUUGUGAAAUGAAAAAAGAGGGAGGCUCCAGUUUGGAUUGUGAGCCCUUCCGAGGAGACGAAGGAGGAAGUUCAGCCUCUGAAGAGGAAUCGCCCAAUGACGGCAUCGAAUUACUUGAAAUCUGCUUAAACCUCAUUCCCAAUCUUAUUUUUCAAUGCUCAUUCAUAUUGUUCAACGAAUUACUUCAACAAGGUUUUCA
rnacentral:lncRNA from 1 species